rnacentral:rRNA from 1 species
CGGGGUGAGUAACGCGUGGGUAACCUGCCUCAUACAGGGGGAUAACAGUUAGAAAUGACUGCUAAUACCGCAUAAGCGCACGGGACUGCAUGGUCUUGUGUGAAAAACUCCGGUGGUAUGAGAUGGACCCGCGUCUGAUUAGCUUGUUGGUGAGGUAACGGCCCACCAAGGCGACGAUCAGUAGCCGGCCUGAGAGGGUGAACGGCCACAUUGGGACUGAGACACGGCCCAAACUCCUACGGAAGGCAGCAG